CAGUCCCGGAAACGGGUGCUAAUACCGCAUAGGUUUUUCCUUGGGUCGCGAUGAUCGGGAAAGGAAAGACGGCCUUUGUGCUGUCGCUUAUGGAUGGACCCGCGGCGUAUUAGUUAGUUGGUGAGGUAACGGCUCACCAAGACGAUGAUACGUAGCCGACCUGAGAGGGUGAUCGGCCACAUUGGGACUGAGACACGGCCCAACUCCUACGGGAGGCAGCAGUAGGGAAUCUUCCGCAAUGGACGAAAGUCUGACGGAGCAACGCCGCGUGAGUGAAGAAGGUUUCGGACCGUAAACUCUGUUGUCAGAGAAGAACAAGUUGGAGAGUAACUGCUCCAGCCUUGACGGUAUCUGACCAGAAAGCCACGGCUAACUACGUGCCAGCCGCCGC
rnacentral:rRNA from 1 species